ensembl:lncRNA
AUGAGGAUAGAGAGAGGUGCUACUUCACUGACUGUCCCAGAACUCUCCUUGGUCCUAAAGAGCAGCCAGACACCAGAGAGAGUGUUAUCCAGGGCUCUGAGUAAUGUGGUGUCCCUUCUGAGACUCUGGAAGGUUCAGUGUCUGGACCUGACUGACCUCUGGAUCCAGGGUCACUCUCUCAUUGCACUGCUGUGUCACCAGGGACCUCUCUCUCUUAGACUAAACUCAGAAACUUUGCAGCAGCUGACUGUAGUUGUGUAUGAAGCUCAGGACAAGGAGUUGACUCAGUGGUUCCUAGAGAAGGUUGGUGGAGACCUGACCUCCUGCAGGAUGGACUGGGAAGUGCUUCUCUCUCUGCUGCAGCAUUCAACCCACAACAUCACUGUGGACCUCAGGAAGAACAGGCUUCUAGAGAAGAACAUCUCAGAUCUUCUCCCCUUUCUGGGAAGGGUUACUCUCAAGAGGUCCAGUUCCAGCUUUGUAAAGUCCACCAUCAGACAGAUCUAUGACAGAGCCAGUGAAUGUGUGUCCAGUUUGUUGAGUUCUUCAGACCAUUGGAUCAACCUGAACAGCAGAGAGCUGGACAGAGUGGACUGUACCGCUCUGUGUUUUACCCUGCAGCACAGCCACCAAGUCAAAGUCAACCUGCUGUGGACCUCCAUACCACCGGGGGAGAUAGAGAGCAUCCUGCCUCUUCUGGACAGAGUCUCCCAACUCAGUGUUGACAGGAGGUUACUGCUGAGUUUCCUCCAGUGCUGUGCUGCCUCUCAGUUCCAGCAGGGGGGACCAUCAUCACUACCAACAGCAGUAUGGCUGCUCAGGUCUCUGCACUUCAGGCUGGACUUCUCCUGCUCCUCCUCUGUGGACCUGUCAGUUCAGGACCAGGAGAAGGCUCUGUGUCUGACCACUGACCACUGCAGGGCCAUCCACUCUGUUCUGAAGCAGAACCAACACGGCACCCCGCUGGUUCAGAACCAGGUCCAGCUCAUCCUAAGAGACUGUGAGGUGGAGGACAGAGCACUGAGGGAGCUGCUUCCCAUCCUGCAUAUUGUCAAGCUGAGUCCCAGCAAAGCUCUGCUACUUCAGCUGCUGGACCUUGUGUGUGAGGGGAUUGAAGAGGGGCUGCUGAGGCACGCAGAGUCCCUAUGCAGAGCCCUGGAUGGGGAGCUGGACCUCAGUGAGACCAGGCUGGACCUGAAGGCCUGUGGAUCUCUGGCCCUGGUUCUGGAACACUCAGAGGGUCUGUCAAAACUGGACCUCAGCCACUGUCAACUCACAGACGACCAGCUACAGCCCCUGAUCACACACCUGCAUAAAGUACAAGUCCUCGAGUGAGUGGCUUUCACUGUGUGUGUGUGUGUGUGUGUGUGUGUGUGUGUGUGUGUGUGUGUGUGUGUGUGUGUGUGUGUGUGUGUGUGUGUGUGUGUGUGUGUGUGUGUGUGUGUGUGUGUGUGUGUGUGUGUGUGGACGUGUUUAACUAUACUUUUGGGGACCAACUGGGAACAUUUUGUUGGUCCCCACAAGGUCAAAUGCUAUUUCUAGGGGGUUUAGGAUUAAGGUUAGAAUUAGUAUUAGGGUUAAAAUUAGGUAGAGGAUUUGGAUCUAUGGUUAGGUUUAGGAUCUAGGGUUAGGUUUAGGUUUUUAAUUAAGGUACGGGUUAGGGUCUGAAUUGUAUGUACCCACAAGGUUAUUUGUACAAGACUGUGUGUCUAUCACUACAUGAUAAAUGUCCAAUCUCUCUCUCCCUGGCUCUCCCUCUCUCUGUGUGUCUCUCUCUCGCUCUCUUGCUCUGUCCCUCUUUCUCUCUUUCUCUCUUUCUCUCUUUCUCUCUCUCUCUCUCUCUCUCUCUCUCUCUCUCUCUCUCUCUCUCUCUCUCUCUCUCUCUCUCUCUCUCUCUCUCUGUGUGUGUCUAUCACUACAUGAUAAAUGUCCGCUCUCUCUCUCUCUCUCUCUCUCUCUCUCUCUCUCUCUCUCUCUCUCUCUCUCUCUCUCUCUCUCUGUGUGUUGUAGCCUGAGCCACAAUGACAUCACUGAUGCUCUGACUGACAGAAUACUCCAACUGGUCUCUACCAACACUUCAAUACACACCAUACGGUAAGGGUGUGUGUGUGACAGUGAGCAGAGCAUGUCUGUGUGAGAUCAUAUGGGUGUGUAUGUUGCUGGGGGCAACUAUUAGAGGAUAAUAAUAACAUUAAAAUAAUAAUGUUUUUUUUUGUCUCUACAGACUCUUCAACAACAGAAUCAGGAACAGAACCGCUUUCCUGACAGACGAGAGGUUUGAGAUCUGAUUAAACAUCAGGUCUUCGCCCAGGAAGAGGAAGAGAUGGCUGUUAGGUCUUGGUCCAGGAAGAGGAAGAGAUGGCUGUUAGGUCUUGGUCCAGGAAGAGGAACAGAUGGCUGUCAGGUCUUGGUCCAGGAAGAGGAAGAGAUGGCUAUUAGGUAUUGGUCCAGGAAGAGGAAGAGAUGGCUGUUAGGUCUUAGUCCAAAUCAAAAUAAAAUGUUAUUGGUCACAUACACAUGGUUACCAGAUGUUAUUGGUCACAUACACAUGGUUAGCAGAUGUUAUUGGUCACAUACACAUGGUUAGCAGAUGUUAUUGGUCUCACAUACACAUGGUUAGCAGAUGUUAUUGUGAGUGUAGCGAAAUGCUUAUGCUUCUAGAUCUGACAGUGCAUCAGUAUCUAACAGGUAAUAUCUAACACAUUCCACAACAAAACCUAAUAUCUAACAAAUUCCACCACAAAACCUAAUACACACAGUCUUAUAAACGAAUGGGAUAAGAAUAUAUAAGUAAGUAUACAAUAUAUGGAUGAGCAGUGACAGAGCGGCUAAGAUGCAAUAGAUAGUAAAGAAUAUAUAGUAAUAUAUUAUUUUAAAUAGAUAGUGAAAGAUACAGUAUAUACAUAUUAGAUGAGUAAUGUGAAAUAUGUAAACAUUCUUAAAGUGGCAUUAUUAAAGUGACUUCUGUUCCAUUUAUUAAAGAGGCCAAUGAUAUCAAGUCUGUAGGUAGGCAGCAGCCUCUCUGUGCUAGUGGUGGCUGUUUAACAAUCUGAUGGCCCUGAGACAGGAGCUGUUUUUCAAUUUCUCUGUCCCAGCUUUGAUGCACCUGUACUGACCUCGCGUUCUUGAUGAUAGCAGGGUGAACAGGCAGUGGCUCGGGUGGGUAUUGUCCUUGAUGAUCCCUUUUGCCUUCUUGUGACAUCGGGUGGUGUAGGUGUCCUGGAGGGCAGGAAGUUGCCCCCGGUGAUGCGUUGUGCAGACCGCACCACCCUCUGGAGAGCCCUGCGGUUGCAGGCGGUGCAGUUGCUGUACCAGACGGUGAUACAGCCUGACAGGAUGCUCUCAAUUGUGCACCUGUAAAAGUUAGUGAGGGUUUUCGGUGACAAGACCAUUUUUCUCAGCCUCCUGAGGUUGAAACAUACAGUGGGAGAUAUUAAAAAGUGAUUCAAGUAAUGCAGUAAAAUGGUUCAGAAUGUUUUAAUGUUGGUUGCUUUAAGGUACGAUGCUUGUAGACUGUGUUGGUUAGGUUUAACUUGUUGGUACUACCCAUCCUGGGUCCGGGAGCAUUGUCAUCAAUUGACACGAAUUAGCAUAAUGCAACGGACAUAAAUAUUACUAGAAAACGUUGGUUAUAAUCCUCAAGGUGUUUUUCAAAUAUCUAUUUGAUAAUAUAUCAACCGGGACUGGUGGCUUCUUAGUAGGAAAGAGAGAAACAAUGGCCGCAUUUGUCCUUUACGCACAAAACACUCUGCGAGACUUCAGCUGACGAAUGAUGCAAUGUUGACGUUCAGGCUCAUUUUUCUAAAUAAAAGCCUGAAACAAUUAGGGAAGCCAUAGAAAAAGGAAUCUGGUUGAUACCUCAUUCACUGCUCAAUAGAACGCAGAGCUUCUAAAUAAGAGUCCCUGCCGGAUUGGAUUUUUCUCCGGCUUUCGCCUGCAAUAUCAGUUCUGUUAUACUCACAGACAAUAUUUUUACAGUUUUGGAAACUUUAGAGUGUUUUCUAUCCUAAGCUGCCAAUUAUAUGCAUAUUCUAGCAUCUUGUCCUGACAAAAUAGCCCGUUUACUUCGGGAACGUUAUUUUUCCAAAAAUUAAAAUAGUGCCCCCUAGUUACAAGAGGUUAAAGGACAAGGCCUUAGGGUCUGUAGGAUGUUGGUAAUGACAUGUUAUAAUGAUGAAAUGGUCUAAUGUUAAAAUGUUAAAAAAUGUUGAAUGUUUAGGAAGUAAUGGGAAGAAAAGGUUAGAGUGGGAUUAUAAUUGAGUAGGGAAUGUUAAUGUUUAGAAAUAAAUGUUUUAAAAGUUAAUGGAGUGUACUCCAUAUUGAUAAUGGAGUGUACUAAGGGUGCUGGCUUGCUUUGGGAAUCCCCCGGUCAGAGCAGCCAGGAGGAGGCAUCCUGUCAAGACGUCCUGCCUAUGUGAGGAAAGAUGGGGGUUAGUGGGUGCUGAAAGAGCACCUUUUGAGUGAUGGCCGCAUUAGGUGUUAACCACUGAGCGUAUCUUUCGAGGAUGUUAGCCACAAUGAGUUAACAGAAAGGAAGAUGGAGGGUAUAAAGGAGGCAUGAUUUUGGAGAAGGGUACAACUCUCUAUUAGCUAGAAGAACCUGCUGGAAGAAGAUUCUUGCUGUAUUAUUAUACUCAUAUCUUAUUUAUUUAUAUUAUAUUUUUAUUAAUUAUUAUUUUAUUAUUUUUGUAUUAUUUAUAUUUACUACUGGGGGAUAUAGGCUGGUCUACUGGGGGAUAUAGGCUAGUCUACUGGAGGAUAUAGGCUGGUCUACUAGGGGAUAGAAGGGGAUAUAGGCUGGUCUACUGGGGGAUAUAGGCUAGUCUACUGGAGGAUAUAGGCUGGUCUACAAGAGGAUAUAGGGGGAUAUAGGCUGGUCUACUGGGGGAUAUAGGCUAGUCUACUGGAGGAUAUAGGCUGGUCUACAAGGGGAUAUAGGGGGAUAUAGGCUGGUCUACAAGGGGAUAAAGGAGAAUAUAGGCUGGUCUACUUAAGUUUACCUCAUUGAUAGAAGUGUGUUAAAGUAGCUGGUAGAGUUUUUAGACGCCAACUGAGGGACUGAGGGGGGAGACAAUAAACAGUGUAUUAUUAUUAUUAGUCCAAAUAACAGGAACAGGACCACAACAGUAGCCACCAAAACAACAGGAACGCAGUCCAGAAAAAACACCUGUUCCACAGAACAAAUCAAAACGCAACCCAAACAAAUGACAGCUACACAAACAAUCCCGCACGAAACCAAGAGGCUAGGGCGAGAUUAAAUACCCCACUAAUAACCUAAACUAGACACAGGUGAACAACAAAACUAAACGAAAAAGAAAAGGGAUCGGUGGCAGCUGGUAGCUAGUAGACCCGGCGACGACGACCGCCGAGCACCGCCUGUACAGGGAGAGGAUCCACCUUCGGUGGAAGUCGUGACAGGUAUAGAUAAAAUCAAAUUGUAUUGGUCACAUACACAUAUUUAGCAGAUGUUAUUGCAGGUGUAGCGAAAUGCAUGACGGAGUCGUAAGAGGGGGGAUUCUGGGCUAAACCAACCCUGGGCUAAACCAACCGAGCACCCCGUCAUAGUGAUCUACAGCAGAAACUCUGUCCUGGAUGAUCCUGAAGAAGUGCAGGGUUUAUAGAGUGAGGGCUAGGCAGCGUAGGCAUUAGGCUCUGAGGAUAGCCCACUUUACUGUAAGGCCCUUACUGUUGAUUCUGAGGCACAGUCCCUAGCUAUAGACUAGCUCAGUGGUAAUGUCAGAGUGGCAGAUCUGUAGAGGUUAAAUGUGUUGUCAUUUCCUAUCGAGAACUAAAUCUACCAGACUGCAAAUGUUUUGGCAAUUCCUAUAGAAAAAGAAAUCUACUAGACUG